AAGGUACUCCCUCCGUUCCGAAUUACUUGUCGCAGGUAUGGAUGUAUCUAGAUGUAUUUUAGUUUUAGAUACAUCCAUUUCUGAGACGAGUAAUUUGGAACGGAGGGAGUAUGCA
rnacentral:pre_miRNA from 1 species